GAUGAACGCUGGCGGCGUGCCUAAUACAUGCAAGUCGAGCGAACAGAUAAGGAGCUUGCUCCUUUGACGUUAGCGGCGGACGGGUGAGUAACACGUGGGUAACCUACCUAUAAGACUGGAAUAACUCCGGGAAACCGGGGCUAAUGCCGGAUAACAUGUUGAACCGCAUGGUUCUACAGUGAAAGGCGGCUUUGCUGUCACUCAUAGAUGGACCCGCGCCGUAUUAGCUAGUUGGUGAGGUAACGGCUCACCAAGGCAACGAUACGUAGCCGACCUGAGAGGGUGAUCGGCCACACUGGAACUGAGACACGGUCCAGACUCCUACGGGAGGCAGCAGUAGGGAAUCUUCCGCAAUGGGCGAAAGCCUGACGGAGCAACGCCGCGUGAGUGAUGAAGGUCUUCGGAUCGUAAAACUCUGUUAUUAGGGAAGAACAAAUGCGUAAGUAACUGUGCGCGUCUUGACGGUACCUAAUCAGAAAGCCACGGCUAACUACGUG
rnacentral:rRNA from 1 species